UCAUUUAAUCAUUUAAUCAUUCAAAAUCGUAGUUACUGAGUUCAUACUGAAGAAAGACCCACAACUUUCACUACAUUGUUCAAUUAUACAGUGGCCACCCCAGAAUCAUUAGACAUCCUUCUGACUGCUCAUCAAGUUAUCUUUUCCAAGUGGCAGCUGAUUUUUUCACUGCUUGUUAUAAUCCCUAAAUUAUCUGUAGGUGGAUCUAAAACUCAGCUUUUUGAGGUCAAUCCUGUCAGUGGUAGUGUGGUUUUGUAAAUACUAACAGAUGAACACAUAUUGUUGUCGAAGAUUAAUAAGUAGAACAGCAGUGGGGAACCCUUAACUCCAAGAGACAGCUGGGUAGAGGGAGGCCAAUUAAAGAAAGACGUGGUCUUGUUUUGAUUCUGGGCCCGUAAAUUGGCACUGGAGGAUCUUCUACUUAGUACGCAGCAUUCCAGGAUCCUUGAAAUAGCAGCCCUGGCCACCAAUGGAGCCACAAAGGGAGACCUAGGAGAGCAGACUUGGAUAAGAACUCUUACCUUGUGCUGGCUUCCCCCAGGAUCCUGCACGCUCUGGAGCAAGCGGGGUGUCCCAGCGGGUCUCUUCCUGGUCAUGAGAAACCGAAGAGGAGGAAAAUGUUUUCCUCCUACGCUUUAUGACAAGCAAAAGCUAAGAGAAUUCAGCACCACUAAACCAGCUUUACAACGAAUAGUAAAGGAACAUCUCUAGAUGGAAAAGAGAAGACCACAGCUAGAAACAGAAAUAUUACAAAUGACAAGACUCACCAGUAAAGGCACACAUAGAG